AGAAAUGUCAUAGUACUCAAUCAUUUCACCACUAACAACCACCUCAGAAUACCACUCUCCAAAGUUCUCAUCUUUCUUGUAAGAGAGACCGAGACCUGUCUCUUUCUUGACUUCUUUCUUUUUUCCAUGAACUACCUCUUUCUUGCCUUCUUUCUUUUUUCCCUUAUCUCCAUCUUUACCAGCCAUGGCAGCAAACACCUCAAACGACAGCUAAUAAUGUUCCCUCCAAAUUGCCAAUAUACUUGGCUAUGAAGAGAGACGAAAACGUCGUCGUACUGAGGAGGGUUUGAGGAUGAAGCGGCGGCGCAACAGUGAAGAAGAAGGAGAGUGUCAACGCGUCGUACUGAGGAGGGC
rnacentral:misc_RNA from 1 species